UCAGAGGCAAAGAAGCAAACACCGCUGUAAGGAGUGGCCCAACUGCAGUUCUUAAAGCAGAGGCACUAAGGAGAUAACGCGUUCCAGGGUCCAUUCUGUGGCUUAACUAUGUCUUCAGAUGCUCGGAGUCCGAUCAUCCUGUUCUACCAUCCUCAGAGCACGGGCUUUCUGACCUCAUGAUGGUGCCACCUUGCAAGAAAAACUGAUGCUGCUGGGACAGGAGUCACUCCGUGAGAGCCACAGCUCCAAUCAAUCCGGUGAAACAUGGAAUUCUUCUGCCUCCUCAGGAAGCAAGACUUAAGUUCUCUCUACUUUGAAGAAUCCCUCAAACUUGCCAGGAGUUUCUAUCAACCCCAGAGACAUUUGUCCUUGUCCCAAGAUGAAGAACCAUUAUUGCCUUAACCCUAGUGACAUUUUCUUUGCCUGUCCUCUGCCACCAACAAGCCAUCAGCUCUUUCUUGCCACUUUGGACAGACUGAUUUUACAUCAUUG